rnacentral:rRNA from 1 species
GACAGAGGAUGCAAGCGUUAUCCGGAAUGAUUGGGCGUAAAGCGUCUGUAGGUGGCUUUUUAAGUCCGCCGUCAAAUCCCCGGGCUCAACCUGGGAACUGCAUUCAAAACUGACAAGCUAGAGUAUGGUAGAGGGUGGUGGAAUUUCCUGUGUAGCGGUGAAAUGCGUAGAUAUAGGAAGGAACACCAGUGGCGAAGGCGACCACCUGGACUGAUACUGACACUGAGGUGCGAAAGCGUGGGGAGCAAACAGG